rfam:Oryza rufipogon genomic scaffold, chr04
AAUAAGUGCAGUUUUGCACUGUUCAUGUCUAACGUUUCACCGUUCGUCUUAUUUAAAAAAAAAUAUGAUUAGUACUUUUAUUGUUAUUAGAUGAUAAAAUAUGAAUAGUAUUUUAUGCGUGACUAAUUUUUUUUAUUUUUUUAUAAUUUUUUAAAUUAGACGGACGGUCAAAUGUUGGAUACGGAUACCCAUGUUUACACUUAUU